rnacentral:rRNA from 1 species
AUUGAACGCUGGCGGCAUGCCUUACACAUGCAAGUCGAACGGCAGCACGGGAGCAAUCCUGGUGGCGAGUGGCGAACGGGUGAGUAACAUAUCGGAACGUGCCCAGUCGUGGGGGAUAGCCCGGCGAAAGCCGGAUUAAUACCGCAUACGACCUACGGGUGAAAGCGCGGGAUCGCAAGACCUCGCGCUAUUGGAGCGGCCGAUAUCAGAUUAGCUUGUUGGUGGGGUAAAAGCCUACCAAGGCGACGAUCUGUAGCUGGUCUGAGAGGACGACCAGCCACACUGGGACUGAGACACGGCCCAGACUCCUACGGGAGGCAGCAGUGGGGAAUUGUGGACAAUGGGCGCAAGCCUGAUCCAGCCAUGCCGCGUGCGGGAAGAAGGCCUUCGGGUUGUAAACCGCUUUUGUCAGGGAAGAAACGGUCCGCGCUAAUACCGUGGGCUAAUGACGGUACCUGAAGAAUAAGCACCGGCUAACUACGUGCCAGCCGCCGCCGUAACAC